CAGAGUGUAAAAACUCCUAAACCCUUUGUGAAUCUACCUAUUCAUUGUUCCUUCGGUAGGCGGUCCCUGGGAGGGACCUAUAGCCCAGAUGGGUGCCUGCCGAAGAACGUCUCAAACCCUGUUACCGUGGUGUUAUUCUGAGUAACUACAAAAUAAGAUAA
rnacentral:misc_RNA from 1 species